AGCGAACGCUGGCGGCAGGCCUAACACAUGCAAGUCGAACGAAGUCUUCGGACUUAGUGGCGGACGGGUGAGUAACACGUGGGAACGUGCCUUUAGGUUCGGAAUAACUCAGGGAAACUUGUGCUAAUACCGAAUGUGCCCUUCGGGGGAAAGAUUUAUCGCCUUUAGAGCGGCCCGCGUCUGAUUAGCUAGUUGGUGAGGUAAAGGCUCACCAAGGCUACGAUCAGUAGCUGGUCUGAGAGGAUGACCAGCCACAUCGGGACUGAGACACGGCCCUAACUCCUACGGGAGGCAGCAGUGGGGAAUCUUGCGCAAUGGGCGAAAGCCUGACGCAGCCAUGCCGCGUGGAUGAUGAAGGUCUUAGGAUUGUAAAAUCCUUUCACCGGUGAAGAUAAUGACUGUAGCCGGAGAAGAAGCCCCGGCUAACUUCGUGCCAGCCGCCGCGGUAACAC
rnacentral:rRNA from 1 species